AUACGUAGGUGGCGAGCGUUGUCCGGAAUUACUGGGCGUAAAGGGCGUGUAGGCGGACGCUUAAGUCAGAUGUGAAAGCCACGGGCUUAACUUGGGGAUUGCAUUUGAUACUGGGUGUCUUGAGGACAGGAGAGGAAAGCGGAAUUCCUAGUGUAGCGGUGAAAUGCGUAGAUAUUAGGAGGAACACCAGUGGCGAAGGCGGCUUUCUGGCCUGUAACUGACGCUGAGGCGCGAAAACGUGGGGAGCGAACGGGAUUAGAUACCCCGGUAGUCCACGCCGUAAACGAUGGGUACUAGGUGUAGGAGGUAUCGACCCCUUCUGUGCCGUAGUUAACGCAAUAAGUACCCCGCCUGGGGAGUACGGCCGCAAGGUUGAA
rnacentral:rRNA from 1 species